GGGGUUGUGGCUCAGUGGUAGAGUGCUCGCCUAGCGUGUGUGAGGCCCUGUGUUCGAUCCUCAGCAUCACAU
rfam:Ictidomys tridecemlineatus contig022863, whole genome shotgun sequence.